AGAUUGAACGCUGGCGGCAGGCCUAACACAUGCAAGUCGAGCGCGAAAAUUUCUUCGGAGAUGAGUAGAGCGGCAGACGGGUGAGUAACGCGUAGGAAUUUGCCCAGUAGUGGGGGACAACUCGGGGAAACUCGAGCUAAUACCGCAUACGCCCCAAGGGGGGAAAGCAGGGGAUCUUCGGACCUUGCGCUAUUGGAUAAGCCUGCGUCGGAUUAGCUAGUUGGUAGGUAAAGGCCUACCAGGCGACGAUCCGUAGCUGGUCUGAGAGGAUGAUCAGCCACACUGGGACUGAGACACGGCCCAGACUCCGUACGGGAGGCAGCAGGUGGGAAUAGUUGGACAAGUGGGGACAACCGUGACUACCGAGCCCAUCGCCGU
rnacentral:rRNA from 1 species